rnacentral:lncRNA from 1 species
GCAUGGAGGGAAAACGAAUUUAAAAGAAGAUAGGUUUGUUUUAGCAAUUUGAAUUUGAAUUUGAAUUUGAAUUUGGAUUUGAAAGAAGAUAGAUUUGAAUUUGAAUUCAAGGGUAUAUGGCACACGUUUUCAAACUUGGAGAUAAAGAGAAGAUUAUAUGAAGAUUAUAGAGAGAUUAAUCAAUCUCCCAAAUAUGCACACGGCUAGAAACAAGGAAAGAAGAUAGGAAGCUCAAUCUUUUAAGGUGCACAAGGCUAUAAAAUAGGGAAUCCUAAUCUCAUCUCCAACCAAC